rnacentral:lncRNA from 1 species
GGAAAAGGGUGAAUGUAUCACUGAAAUAUAUAAAAAACCUACUUACGUGCCGAUACUAAUACCAGCAUGGUCCAGCGACUACAUGCCAUGUGGACUGGCAGCAGUUGGAGCUUUCUUUGCGCGCAUACACACCCGCAUGGCUGGGCGGGAUAGGCUCCGGGAGCUCUCCUUUGUUUGUAGUAUCGGCCGCAAGUGCGGAUGUGCCUUUAAGAUGAUGGAAGGGGUCUGGAGGAGCAUGGGAGAGCGGUUGGGGGGGCCACAACGAACGAACGUGUCUGCCCAGCAGGGCCAAGUAUGUCCGUCCUCGACAGUCAC